rnacentral:rRNA from 1 species
UACGUAGGGUGCGAGCGUUAAUCGGAAUUACUGGGCGUAAAGCGUGCGCAGGCGGUUCGCCAAGUCAGGUGUGAAAUCCCCGGGCUUAACCUGGGAAUUGCGCUUGAAACUAGCGGGCUUGAGUGUGGCAGAGGGGGGUGGAAUUCCACGUGUAGCAGUGAAAUGCGUAGAGAUGUGGAGGAACACCAGUGGCGAAGGCGACUUUCUGGGCUGUAACUGACGCUGAGGCGCGAAAGCGUGGGUAGCAAACAGG